AUGGCGGCGCGCAGCCGGCCCCCGUGCUAACCCGGCCCCCGUGGCUCGCCCCGCGCCGCCGCGCGAGGCACGGAGCGGCCCCCGCUGCCCGCUGAGCGCCGAGGUUGCUGAAAAGUGCCUUUCCUGAAGCCACCGCUGCUUGGAUUUCUGUCUAGGGCUGCCUCUCUCUGCCCCCUCACCCCCUUUCUUUUUAAUUUGGCGUUGCUUGCGGUCCAUAUACCCUGACGGCAACUCAUCCACCCUCCUUUUUUUUGUCCUGUGCUCCCCGUUUGCACGCAGUUUGCUCAGCCGUUUUUUCCUCCCCCGACUAUGUAGCAAACAUUGAAAGAAGGAAAGAAAGGAAACCCUGCCAUCCUUCUGCUCGUUUUGAUGCUCGUGAGCAGUGAUUUGGAGAAGCAAGAAAAAGAAGGAGAAAAAAAAAAAGACAAGUUUUCCCCCCAAGGACUGAGACCAUUCCACAAACUGAAGUGCUGCCAGCAGCAUAUGCUUUUUGCAAGAAUAAUUGAAACCAUUAACCGGAGAGCACAGAAUUCUUUUGAAAGUCUGCCAGUUAUUUUCAAGUAACUUAGGCAGUGGCACAAAAUAUAACACUUAAAGAUUUUAACUUCUACAAUUGCACUUUUAGGAGCUGGCCUCUAAUUUGAUUUUUCAGUUACUCUGAUAAGAUUUCUAUUUUAUGAUUGGCUUUAUGUUUGAUUCUCGUUUAAACAAACACGAUUUGACUUAAAUGAAAACCUAAGUGCUGAUGAAUAGGAGUUCUACCAAAGCAACAAGUUAGUUAUUUCGUCACGUUUCACUUGAAUUCACUUUUUUACCCUAUUUUUUUUUCCUUUUUUUUUUUUUUUUAAAUAAAGAAGAGCAGAUCAGCAGUAAAUAUUGCCCUGAAGAAGGGUGCGAUCGCUUGCAUUUUGAUUUUUGUUUUUAAUAUGGCUGUGAACGUUUCCCUGGUUCGCGAUACAAAAUGGCUGACGUUAGAAGUGUGUCGAGAGUUUCAGAGAGGAACUUGUUCUCGGUCUGAUGCAGAGUGCAAGUUCGCCCAUCCGUCACGGAGUUGCCAUGUGGAAAAUGGUCGAGUUAUUGCCUGCUUUGACUCCCUAAAGGGCCGGUGUACCCGAGAGAACUGCAAAUAUCUCCACCCUCCCCCGCACUUAAAAACACAACUUGAAAUAAAUGGACGCAACAACCUGAUCCAGCAAAAGACAGCCGCAGCCAUGUUUGCUCAGCAAAUGCAGUUCAUGCUACCAGGCACGCAGCUACAGCCAAUCACAACAUUUCCUGUGACUCCAUCGCUUGCAACGAGCCCCACAAUGGCUUUUAGUCCCUACCUGAGUCACGUUUCUCCUGGGAUGGGCUUGGUUCCUGCAGAGCUUUUACCAAAUACUCCUGUCCUGGUUUCUGGAAAUCCAACUGUUACGGUACCAGGAAGCUCUGCUGGCCAGAAACUGAUGCGUACGGAUAAACUGGAGGUUUGUCGAGAGUUUCAGCGUGGAAAUUGCACACGUGGUGAGAACGAUUGCCGCUAUGCUCACCCUAUAGAUAUCGCGAUGAUAGACACAAACGAAAACACCGUUACAGUUUGCAUGGAUUACAUCAAAGGUCGAUGCUCAAGGGAGAAAUGCAAGUACUUUCACCCUCCUGCACACCUGCAAGCCAAAAUCAAGGCAGCUCAACAUCAGGUGAACCAGACAGCUGCAGCUGCAAUGGCCCUGCCGCCUGGUGCACUUCAACCUUUACCAAAGAGGCCAGCACUUGAAAAAAACAAUGGUGCCACCACAGUCUUUAACCCAAGCGUUUUCCACUACCAACAGGCUCUAGCCAACAUGCAGUUGCAACAGCCUACGUUCAUCCCCACAGGGUCAGUUCUGUGCAUGACACCCACUGCAAGCGUUGAUAUCCCAGUUAUCAGUAGAUGAACUGAGUAGCAGCAUGUUUGUUUCACAGAUGUAGAAGUUCCCGAUAGAACACAGACCAUGUUGAAAUUCUGAACCGUACAAUUACGGAGCACCAGGACUUCUUGGUGGGAAGCUGCGCAUGGCCUUUCUGUAUAUAUCCCCUCUUCCCUUCUAUCAUUCUUUACCACCUCUACAGUAAGCCUGUUGCAGCCUACAUGUUAACCAAAAACUGAUCAAUGGGAAUGUCAAAAAAAAAAAACCAACAAAACAAAAAAAGACCAAAAAAAAUCAAAAAAAAAAAAAAGAAAAGGAAAAAAAAAAGCACUAUAGAAACAAUUAACAAACAGCGCUCUGUUAUAUGAGAUAUACAAGUAGAAAAUUAUAAUAGACUUUUAUAACACAUUACUUUAACACACUUAAUCAUUUUAUGACUACCAUCCUGAUAAGUGCAUCUGCACAGCGGACUGUUGGUUUACUGUAUACUAUCGAUGGAUAAAUGUUUGUCUUGUUUUUAAAGUGUUAUCUUACUGUUUUGUUUACAUCAUAGUCUAUUGAUUUGUUUUAAAGUGUACAUCAUUAUCAAGUAUACUCAGUACCAUUUUUUUUCAUUAUUGUUAUGUCUUAAGUUUUCAUAUACUGUAGGUUUUAUGGAGUUUUGUUUGUUUUUUUACUAAAAAUGUUAUCGUGGGAAACAGGAAUUAUGUGCUUGAAAAACACGACGCAGGAAUGUUCUGCCCUUUUCUGGAUUUUGCUGUUCACGUCAGCUAAAGUUGUUUGUGUUAAAGGCUCCUUUUAAUCAGUUCAAAUUUGCCUUCGGAUACUCUCCGAAUUUUUAGUACCAAUGAUGUGCGAGGCCGGCUGUGAUUUCAGCCCAGCUCAGGGUAUUUUGUUAAAUACAUUGAGCUGAUUCUGGAAAUUGGAGGGGGGGAAAGAAAAAAAAAGAGAGGAAGACCAAAACCCAUCUCAGUAAGGGGAUAGGAAAGAUUUGCUCGGAAUUUCUGCAGUUCUGUUGUAUGUUGAAGUGCAUUCUCAGCUGCAAACGGCGCACAAUCUUUCUUGCUGUUCUCAUGGUGCAGCGGAAAGCAAUAGGUGGAUGAGUGAGAUGUUGUCCUUUGGGCAUUUGCGUUGGAGAGGAACAAAUGCCAACUGUUAGCUGCAAACCACGUAGCUGGAAUAGGGCCAUCGCCACGUGGCCUGGCCCAGGCCGGGUAAUACUUUGCUCUCUUCACUGAGCGUGCUGAAACAUCUCAGCCUGAAAUCCAGUGACCCUUCCUGCAAUUUUGUCAGCAUGCACCAGUUCUUUAGUCACCGUUGACCAUGACUUGGUGAUUUUUCCCACUAAUUUCUGGCCCUUUAAAGCAAACUCAGCACUAACAAACCAGGAAAAAUCCUAUUCUAUACAUAAACACCCAUUUUAAUGGGGUUCCUAGAGGUUGGUGGAUGUGAUUUGGCACCUUGUACUUGAUGAAGUCCAACUUUUUUUUCACACAACAAGGGCUAGUUCUCAAUACCUCCUUGUCAUGCGCGUGAAUAAAGCAGCUCCCGGCCCACACACCCUGGGCAGCACUGCCUGGCAUUGUGCUGCCUUGCUGAACAAUCUGGCCACACAGAAUACGUUUUAAUUUGAGAAUGCAGCUAAAUCCAUCCUGUCAUAGCUCUCUACCAUCACUGGCAUCAUGGAAGAGAUGGAUUUGCUCCAUGAACUCCUAAAAGUAGGAAGUGCUAGAGAAAGAGAAUGAUUUUUUAAAGCCAUGGCUUUUAAAUGGGCGAGUUGUUAAUGUUCUGCUGCCCUGAGCUCACUGUGGUCUUGCGGGGUGCCGAGAGGAUUCCAUUUUCUUUUCCUUGAUGUUGGUUAGAGAAUGUCCUUCUGUGGGUGCACUGAUAAACAUACGUCUGCAUGGACCACAAGGGACAAGGAGCAGGCUGGGCACAACAGCCAUAGCCCAGGACAGGCUGCAACCACCUGUGUGUGGAGGUAUAUUCAUAGCAGGCACCUUUAAAGGGUCCAGCUCAGAAAGGCCUCGAGCCAGAAGGAAUCUUCCCAUUCAUUUCAGCAGGCUUUGAACCUAACCCCCUAAAAGUGGGGAGAAACCCCUGCAACCCCAACCCUCAGCCAUGCACCUCGUGUUUUUUUGCAGUCCCUUGUGUCUGUGGAUGUCUCCCAGCCAUCAGCAUUCGAGAGCAGACAGUGUUGCUUGAAAUUAGUGUCUGUCAUUUAAACUGGCUACCGCCCACCUGUUCUUUUAACCACUGAGUUUCUGUUUCCCAAAACCAUAACAUUAUUAGUGGAAAAAGUGGAUUUGAGUACUUCCUGUUUGAAAUUAUUUGUGUAUCAAAAUGGGUUUUGCACAACCUGUGCCAGUGCCUCAACAAAGAACAGAGCUGAUCUUCUUAAGCCAGAAAGGAUGCAUUCAAGCUUGUAUGGCUUUAUGAGUUAAAGGAGGUUGGAACUUUUUCAGUGCUAAAUGGAUUUUUGUAUAUCUUGACACUUUGAUGUAACCUCCUCUUUUAUUUAUCUACUUAAACAUCUGGCAUAGAUGUGCAUAGAAUGUAAACCUAGAAUACAGCUGUUUUCACGUCACAUUUAAAGCACUGAAAAAAAAAAAAAAAAGAAAAGCGUUUAAGGAUUAUUUUUUAUUAAAGAGGUCCAAUGAGGGAUGUUCAGGGUAGUUAUAUUAGGUGCCACAACAGUUUUUAUAUUGCUGGCAAAUUUAGCGUUAAUUUGUAAAUGAGUUUAAGGAAAGAAAAGCUUGAAGCACUAAACUUCACCAAAUUCAAAACAAUCUUGGCACAAAUGCCAUUUGAGGUAGCACUAUUGAAACUAGUUGUGCAAUGACUUGCUCUAAUUUUCUUCGUUCAAGAAAGAAAAUAAAAUUAAAAAAAAAAGAAAAAAAGAAGAAAAAAAAAGAAGAAAAACAACGAAAAAAAAUCACAACAAAAAAACAGUCGCCAGACUCUAAAUUUCCUACAUAGACUCUUACAAAGUCACCAAGCUGGGUAGUGACUCUAAACAAAUGUCAUAAAAGCAUGAAUAUCAUCCUUUAUUUGACAAGAGAUGUAUGUAAGUUUGUUUAAAUCAAUAUAAUUUUAGUGACAUUUUUAUAAGCUUCCCACUUUCCAUGAACCUCUAUUUUUUAUUUAUCCAAAGUGAUUUCUCUUUGUCCAUUUCUCUCAGCCUUAUGCAAACAAUAUGCAAGAAAUGCUGAAACUUGGAUAAAACGGGUCAUGCAGAGGGAAAAUGAAAGCUGAGAUUGAUCAUUUUCACGCAAAAGGUUGUUAGUAGUUUCAAUAAAAGUACUACUACUAAACUGUAACAUAAGCAGACAAUAAAAGAGGGAUUUAAAAUAAAAUGGAUUCAUAAAACUAUUAAGAUUAUUUUUGUUAAGUACAGUGUUUUUAGUAAUUUGGAACACGAUUUCACAAUCAAUGUUGUUGGCUUUUUGGGUUUCUUUUUUGUUUCUUUUAGUUGCAAGUUUCUAGCUGAUGAUGUUGUGACUUUGUAUUUUUGCCUCGUGAUGUCCUAGAAACCAUUCCCUCCCAGGGCAGCCGGCGCCGGCCCCGCUCCCGACUGCUCUGCGGUGCUUGGGGUGCUGAGGAGCGGCGGUGCAGGCAGGUUGGCCAUGCUCUCAGCAACCCAAAGGCACAGCCACGGAGCUGCUCGUCCUCACUGCGGGCUCCUCCUGGCCCACUGGGCAGCUGGAGCUGCGGGAGCAUAGAGGCAGCACCGGAGAUGAGUGUGUGCCUGUGGUAGGUGCGGCCGGUGGGACGAGGAGCCACGUUGAGUUGGACGGGAUGCCUUCUCCACCUCGUGGGCUCCUUGCUGGCGCUGUAGGGUAGCUCUAGGACAUGCAGUGAUGGAAUAACUGGAGUCCUCGUUGGGUUUUGGUUUCGAUCCCUUGUACAUUUCACACGCGCGAGAACGGAAGAAGGUGAAAUUUAUGAGGAAAAUCUAAUUUCCCAUUCCUGUUGAAUGGAUUUAGUUUGAUAUUGACCUGAUUUUACCACGUGCCUGUUGAAGGCCUUAGAGUAUAUACUGUAUGUUAAAGACUGUAAUAACUUUAAUAGUUGCUAGCCUAAUCCAAAUGUAAAUAUAGCUCCAACACGUUGUUACUGGGCUACAACGCAUUAACCCACGCCAUGUAUCUUCAUUUCUUUGCCAUUAGCUCAUAAGGUUUUUCAUUAUUGCUUUUUUUUUUUUUUUUUUUUUGAUACCUUUAGUGACGAAUGAAUUUAAUUUUGAAGGAGAGUUAGAGAAAGCUUAAAGCUUUUCAUGCGUCCGUUCAACCCGUUUGGUUCUCUUCUAAACCAACACUGAAGCAUGGUAAGGUAUAGAACGCGGUCCAUAACUUGUCUGUAUAGUUUACAGUUUAAGAACAAAGUUAACUUUGUAUGUAACUCCUACAAUGAUAGAUUCAUUGUUAACUAAUUAUAUUAAGUUGUUGUUGCUAUGGCAACAAAACUACAACAUGGCUACCUUUGUAUACGUUAUUUGUGAGAUUUUCACAUGUAAAUUAAAAGUGAUGUGUAACAGUAUGAGCUUGUGAAAGGUACAGUUCGAUACUGUCAGAUAAAGAGAUGAUUGAAUAUUUUUAAAAUCCCAAAGCCCCAUGUGAACGCUGAAUCGGUGUCUGUACGUCACUUUUUCAGUCGAGAAGUUUACAACACAUGGAUUUAGAGUCAGGUUUUAUAGCUUGUAGAAAAUUGUUGUGUGGCAAGGGUUAUUCCACAGUAUUUUAACUCUGACAGCACGGCGGGCUGCGUGGGGACGUAGUGAUGGUCGUUCCUUCAUUUCACACUCACCACCAUUGUGGGAAUCCCGAAUCCAUCCCUCUCAGUACUGUAGCUCUGCUUGCAGUUUUCUCUUGGGUUUCCUUUUUUGUUGUUGUUGGGUUUGGUUUGGUUUUAUUUUCCCCCUUCCUGAAAUUGAACGCUCGCGUGAUGAUGUUACCAUCAGGGCUAAGCGAUGGAAACGUGUAACUAUUUUAAUACUAAUUUAUAUCAGCAAAAAAAAAAAACAACCUGUACAUAAGAGAAAGAAAAAGAAAAAAAUAUUGUGGAAUGACCCCGUAACAGUGUUGAAGAUACCAAUAUGCUGCAGUUAAACUGAUUCAGUUAGUGUACGAAUGUGUGAGACACACCUUUUUUGCACUUAUGUACAUAGUCCACGAAAGAAAUCCUUGGAACUUAUUUUGAAUAUUAAAAAAAAAAAUAAAAAAAGUCUGUAAUAAUACAGGAAAAGUUUGUAAAAGAGAUAGGUAUUACUAAGGCUUUGAAAAGGAGGAGGUUUUUUUUGCUAUAAAACUUAUCUGAAAGCAUGAUGUUGCUUUGCUGUUGUAAAAGCUUUGUAGUUUGCCAUAGCUUAUUAUACAGCAGACUGAUACCAGGUCAGCUCCAACCUGCAGCACGGAGAAAUGGGAAACAGUGCUUAAUGAAUUAGUAAGGUCACUAGCAAAGAUUUUGUUUUGAAUCAGCCUGCAUUUUCAAACACACCCGAGGUCGUGUUCCUCAUGCUUUGCAUUCUCGGUGAAUCCUAUUGGGACCGGAAUGCCGGUGGUGGCACACGCUCAUUUUCUUUCCCAGCACCUCAUCCUGUUUCUGGCUGGAAGCGUUUUUUUUCUCUGUUGCAGGUGACUAUUGUUGCAGUGCUUGAAAUCCCAGAGGGAGUUUGAACUGUUGCCCUUUGCUGGGUUUUCUGUGCAUAUGUGGUUUUGUGUUUUUCUCACUGUUUCAGGGCCAGCCAACAAAAAGGAACGGCUGAGAAGCAGUGGAAGGGUAGGAGUUGUUUCAGAUGGGCUUGGAAUGACUUUCCCCUCUGUUGCCACUGCUUUAGUGCUCUUCUGAGAGAGUGAGAUGGCCUGCUGGUGUGGCAGCAGUGCGUGGUGGAGCUGUGAGCUGGGUGCUGGGCAAGGAAGGCAGCGCUGCUGUGCUGUAUGGCAGCAUGGUGCCCCUGGCUGGGUGCAGCCCUGCUGCCCUGCCGUGCAAAGGGAGCACAGCCCUGUUCCCAGCCAUGGAGGACCUGUGCUCCCAGGAGCUGCUGGCCAUGUGCCCCCACCCAGCCCAUGCUUCACCUGCUUCUGCAGGGCUGCCAAGCUGUGUGGAGGUAGUGGGAGUCCUGGGCAAAGCCCCGUGCCCAUGCAGGACCAGGAGAUGCUCUCAUAUGCAAGCUAGGUUGUCCCUUUGCUCCCUGCAUGUUGUUUUCCCAAUUGAAAUGUUAGCUGCAACAGAGAAAACAGAAGAUGAAUGAUGUAAAAUACCCAUUCCCUGCAUCAGAUCGCUGAUUCCCAGCAAUCUGGGUCCCUGGGCUCUCAGUUCCCUUCCCACUCCUGCUCUGUUGCUUGCAGUGCAAUGCUCUGCAGCACUGGGUGAGGUGUUGGGAAGCUGGGAGGCCUGCACUGACCCAUUUGUUUUUGCAAACACGCUUCAGAUUUGCUCUGAUAAAGCUCCUUGUCCCCGGGUCCCUCCCUUGCCCACCCCAGUGCUCUGGGUGCUGCUGCUGGCAUCCCAAAGAUCACUCCCUUCACGCUGUCCACAAACGUCUCCUGCCAGCCCAUAAUUCAACACGCGGUUCAUUGGAACGCACGCUUUGCUGAAUCAGAGCCUUAGCAUCAUGUGGUCCCAGUGUCUGUAAAGGGGAAGGAAAAUCAGUUGUUGUCUCUUUCCAUGUAGAUUUUAAUAUGAAAUGAUCAGCUAAUUCUAGCCAGCGUGCUGUUAAAGCUUCCCGUUACUGUCAUCAGGUUUUGUAAUCGAGCUGCUUCUCAUUUCUAGGAUUAUGGGAAUAAAAAAACACAACUAUUUUGCACUAUGUGAAACGAAUCAGAGAUAGAUAGUAAACUUCUUUUGCUUGGGGAUACGAAAACAACCACAACACCACUGCUGAAAUCUUUGCUAGUGAUCUCUACUGACGUCUCUAUAUCAAAAAUAACUCUAUGCCUCUCAGACAAGAUGCUUAAACACGCAGAAAUAACACAACUGUUAGAUAACACAAAGUUCUUUUUUCCAAACACACAACAGAGAGAAUUACCUGACACUGAAAUACAAGGUUCCAGUUCCUUAUUACUGUACACAGAUGCUAUGUGAUAGUGGUGGAAGCCAAAUGAUUUUGUUGCCAUGGCUUUUGUAUCCUAGCAGAUGAGGGGAUGAUAAGACCAUUCUUAGAUUGGGUUAUGGGAUUUAUUGGUUGUUUUGGUUUUCUUUCCUUCUCCAAUUAGCUUCCUUUUCAUUCUAUUUUUUCUGUACCACAUGAAGAUGAAGCGAAGCUCCCCGUGCUCCCAAUCACAUCACCUGACAACAGGUCGCUUUCUUCUUCUGUACAAGCAGAGAAUUGUACUUCAGGCAGCCACAGAACUCAAACACAGAACCACGAGUGGUUAAGUCCAUACAAACACACCGUACUGUGUGAAGUAGAUAGCCAAACCAAUUCCUUUCAUAGGCAUUCCUGGUACAACAACGCUAAGAGAAACGUUAUCUAUCCGUUUAACGGUGUCGUUUAGCGUAUAUACCAACAACUACAGUUACCCUUGUGGCAUUGCAAGAAACAAAGUAGCACCAGGUUCAGACAGGCUAACACAGUGUUUUGGUUCCAUAACACGGUAGUUCAUUCCCUCAACUGCUACCAACGGUGUAUGCUUGGGAUUUCCUUUUCUUUUUGCCACGUUAUAUUGCUGUAGUGCCUGUACGUGCUUUAGAGAUGUGCAUAAUGCUACUCAUUUUAGUAUGUUACUUCUCUAUUGUUAUGGUUUUAUUUUUAUUUUUUUGAUCUUUUAAUAAAGUGUAUAAAAUUCUUGGUUA